rnacentral:rRNA from 1 species
UACGUAGGGUGCAAGCGUUGUCCGGAAUUAUUGGGCGUAAAGCGCACGUAGGCGGAUUGUUAAGUCAGGGGUGAAAUCCUGGAGCUCAACUCCAGAACUGCCUUUGAUACUGGCGAUCUCGAGUCCGGGAGAGGUGAGUGGAACUGCGAGUGUAGAGGUGAAAUUCGUAGAUAUUCGCAAGAACACCAGAGGCGAAGGCGGCUCACUGGCCCGGUACUGACGCUGAGGUGCGAAAGCGUGGGGAGCAAACAGG